rnacentral:rRNA from 1 species
UCAUGGCUCAGGAUGAACGCUGGCGGCGUGCUUAACACAUGCAAGUCGAACGAAGCAUAAGAGUUGCUUGCAACACUUAUGACUUAGUGGCGGACGGGUGAGUAACGCGUGGGUAACCUACCCUGUACAGGGGGAUAACAGUUAGAAAUGACUGCUAAUACCGCAUAAGCACACGCUGUCACAUGACAGAGGGUGAAAAGAUUUAUCGGUACAGGAUGGAUUCGCGUCUGAUUAGCUGGUUGGUGAGGUAACGGCUCACCAAGGCGACGAUCAGUAGCCGGCCUGAGAGGGUGAACGGCCACAUUGGGACUGAGACACGGCCCAAACUCCUACGGGAGGCAGCAGUGGGGAAUAUUGCACAAUGGGGGAAACCCUGAUGCAGCGACGCCGCGUGAGUGAAGAAGUAUUUCGGUAUGUAAAGCUCUAUCAGCAGGGAAGAAAAUGACGGUACCUGACUAAGAAGCCCCGGCUAACUACGUG